UACAGGAGGGGGCAAGCGUUGUUCGGAAUUACUGGGCGUAAAGGGCUCGUAGGCGGCCAACUAAGUCAGACGUGAAAUCCCUCGGCUUAACUGGGGAACUGCGUCUGAUACUGGAUGGCUUGAGUUUGGGAGAGGGAUGCGGAAUUCCAGGUGUAGCGGUGAAAUGCGUAGAUAUCUGGAGGAACACCGGUGGCGAAGGCGGCAUCCUGGACCAACACUGACACUGAGGAGCGAAAGCCAGGGGAGCAAACGGG
rnacentral:rRNA from 1 species